CAGUCGCCGCGGUAAUACGAAGGGUGCAAGCGUUAAUCGGAAUUACUGGGCGUAAAGCGUGCGUAGGCGGUGAGUUAAGUCUGCUGUGAAAUCCCCGGGCUCAACCUGGGAAUGGCAGUGGAUACUGGCUCGCUAGAGUGUGUCAGAGGAUGGUGGAAUUCCCGGCGUAGCGGUGAAAUGCGUAGAGAUCGGGAGGAACAUCAGUGGCGAAGGCGGCCAUCUGGGACAACACUGACGCUGAGGCACGAAAGCGUGGGGAGCAAACAGGAUUAGAUACCCCUGUAGUCCCUGUCUCUUAUAC
rnacentral:rRNA from 1 species